rnacentral:misc_RNA from 1 species
UCUAGCAAGUUGUGCUACUUCAUAGUGGAACCAUUGCUGCAACGUAAUUGUUUAGCCCCAGAAACGACACGAUCAAACAGACUUAUGAUUUUCUUUUGAUGUCGUGGCUAAGCUGCAUUGGUUGCUUUCAGUCAAUACACGACACCAGUUCUAUAGCCAAGCUGUUACCGAAGUGACUACGAAACUGCGGUUAACAAUAAAUCUCUAAACAUGUCCAAAUAUUCCUUUUCUUUGUGUUGUUGCUUCUUCUCUCCUGGGUCCACCGUUACCAAUUCCAAUUCAAAGGAUCGAACUUCAGUGUUGUUAAUCGAAUUUAUCGACGAUAAACGAAAGCAAAAGAAGAUACUUGCUGACGUUGACAUUAAAAUAUUAUAUUCACACCAGAGGAGUCUGUAGCAUUUAUCAUCUUUUCAAGGCAAAGGAAUAUGUUAUACAGAAGAAAUAUAACCAUGCUUAUAUAAAUUUGGUGAAUUGUGGUGAAAGGUUUCUUCUGGGUGAAAAUAUUAGCAACAUUUGUGUAAUUCACUGUCUGGAAUAAGUACAAAUUAAUUUUAGAUUCUAAAUAGACUCUAGUUAAAUUGAAUUGAUACAGGACUUGGCUGCAUUUUCAGAUGUUGGUAAAGAUCAUGGUUGAUAGAAAUACAGCAGAAGGAAUUUUUGUUACAAAUACAUUAUAAAAAAAAAAAGGAAAAUGAGAAGCGUGUCCAUAUAUUCUGGUAAGAGAAGUAAAACUUUGGGUAAAUGAAUUAAAAGAUUGGUUUUUCUUUCAUUCUGAAGAGAUGGCAAAAGAUUUUGGAAAGUCUUCAUAUGAAUGUGAUAUCUGUGAAAAGUCAUUCACGACAAAGAGUUACCUAUCUGUUCACAAACGUCUUCAUACAGGAGAAAAACCAUAUCUCUGUGAAACUUGUGGUAAAACAUUCUCUCGGAAUGAUAAGUUAAAUAUUCACAAAUGCAUUAAGAGAAGAGAGAAGCAAUAUAAUUUUUCUUUUACUAAAGAGAUGACAAAAAUGUUAGAGAACUCAUCCUAUGAAUGCUGCAUCUGUAAAAAGACAUUCACUACAAAAGGCCAUCUUACUACUCACGUACGUAUUCAUACGGGAGAGAAACCAUAUCACUGUGAUAUCUGUGGUAAAGCGUUCUCUCGAACUGAUGAACUGACUACUCAUAAACGUGUUCAUACAGGAGAGAAACCAUAUGAAUGUGAUAUCUGUGGCCAAUCAUUCACUCGUAAAGAUAUUUUAACUACACACAGACGUAUUCACACAGGAGAGAAACCAUAUCAGUGUGAUAUGUGCAGUAAAUCAUUUGCUAAAAGUACCAACUUGACCGAUCACAAACGCAUUCAUACUGGAGAAAAACCAUAUCACUGUGAUUUCUGUGGGAGAUCAUUUAAUCAAAAUAACCAAUUAAUUAAACACAAACGCAUUCACACAGGAGAAAAGCCCUAUCACUGUGAUAUCUGUGGUGAGUCAUUCUCUCGAAAUGAUAAGUUAAAUGUUCACAAACGCUCUCAUACAGGAGAGAAACCAUAUCAGUGUGAUAUCUGUGGUAAAUCAUUCCCUCAAAAUAGCGGCUUGACUAGACACAAACGUAUUCAUACUGGAGAAAAGCCAUUUCAUUGUGAUAUUUGUGGUAAAUCAUUCCCUCGAAGUAACGCCUUAACUGCACACACACGUACUCAUACUGGAGAAAAACCAUAUCAUUGUGAUAUCUGUGGUAAAGCAUUUUCUCAAAGUCCUGCUGUAACUGUACACAAACGCAUUCAUACUGGGGAAAACCCAUAUCAAUGUGAUAUCUGUGGUAAAGCUUUUUCUCAAAGUCCUGCUGUAGUUGUACACAGACGUAUUCAUACUGGGGAGAAUCCAUAUUAUUGUGAUAUCUGUGACAAAUCAUUUCCUCAGAGAAAUUCCUUGAUUGAUCACAAACGUAUUCAUACUGAAGAAAAUCUAUUCCAUUGUUGAUAUCUGUGGUAAAGCAUUCAUUCGAAAAGGAACAUAAACAUUUGCUGGAGAAAACCCAUAUUGUGAUCUUUGUGGGAAGUAAUUCUCUCAAAAUCAUCAGUUAAGUCAGCACAAAGGUAUUGGUACAUUAAAAGAAAAACCCCAAAAAGCAAAAAUUAUGCCACUAAUAUUUGUGUUAAUCCAUUCUCAACAACAUGUCUUAACCAUGAUGUGUAUUCUUACCUGAGAGAAAUCACUCAUGAAACUUAUGUUAACCAUUUCCACUGCAAAGUGUUUUAAUAAUGGUUUCAUAUUUUAUCACAGGGGCAGCAAUUUUGGGGGAAGGGAUGAGUCAAUUACAUCGACCCCCAAUGUUCAACUAUUACUUACCUUAUCAAACCCUAAAAGAUGAAAAGCAAAGUCAACUUCGGCAGAAUUUGAACUCAGAAUGUAGCAAUAAGUGAAUGGCAUGCUAACAAUUCUAUCAGGUUGCUGCCUUAGUUGACCCCAAAAUAAUCAGGAAUAAAUGAGCCAUAUAAUAUAGUAUUUUCUCAUACUUUCAUAAGACAUAAAUAUUCCUUAAAUAUAUAGAAAUAUACCUGGAUGUACAUACCCUAUGUACACUUUUUCUGGUACAUUAUGUUGAUUGUUUUCAAAUUUUUAUUGUUAUUCCGCCAAGGGACCAGUUUUGUUGUUGGUGACUUGUGUAAUUUUAUUUACGGUGUGGUCCCUUCUUAACUUUAUGCGGAAACUUUCAUGCUCAUUUGCAAGUGUCAUUGUGAUCUCAAACUCUACUUAGAUAGAAAAUGUGUGGACUGUGUAAUCUUUGAGUUAUCAUCAUCAACGUUUUUAUGUCGAUUGUCCAAUCCAUGCCAAUAUGGAAAACGGACAUGAAAUGAUUAUGCAGAUGUAAGCGCUGGAAUGUGUUGAAACCACAUUUUCUCAAACAUUUCGUCAUUUCAAUUGUAAAUUUCAAAUUCCAGAGUUCUGACUGCACCAAUCAUCAUCAUCAUCAUCAUUUAACGUCCACUUUCCAUGCUGGCAUGGGUUGGACGGUUUGACUGAGGACUCAGGUGAAUGCUGCUUCUUAUGUGCCACCAGCAUGGCUGCCAGUCAGGCUUGUGAAUAUUCAUAACAAUUUGAAAUUUAAAUAAAGUUGGUUUGCUCUUA